GGUUAUGGCUCAGUGGUAGAGUGCUUGCCUAGCAUGUGUGAAGCACUGGGUUUGAUUCUCAGCACCA
rnacentral:tRNA from 1 species